CAGGUCGAGAACUCUAGAUUUCCUGACGUCAGAAUAUAUUUGCAUAGUAAUUUCCCAAACACAAGGCCAAUGAUGGCCUUGAAUAACUGACCAAUCGAUUCAAUGAACUACAAUGCAUUGUGGGCUACUACGAGUUUACUAUCACUAGCAAACACGUGGAAUUAGUGGAAAAAGUGAAAAUUAAUAUAGUGUCUGGGAUUCUCAAAAUAAAUGUUUUUAUUCUACGAAUAUGUUUAUUGAAAUAUAUAUAACAUAAUCUUCAAUUUGCAUGCUCAGAUUAAAAAUGUAUUGUUUACGGGCUUCACAAUUCGACUUUCUUUUUCGCCUU
rnacentral:lncRNA from 1 species